CACCGCCGUAUGAUGGGACCCAGUUAUAGAACAACAUAGGAUUCUCUACUCGGUCAUAUCACUAGGCAGAUCUUCCGAUCAGAACAAGCCGCGUGUCCAUAUAUACGGUGUUUCAAUUGAAUAUGGUAACUGUUUGUAGAAAAUUUGGCGGGCAAUUUUACUGCAAAAGAAAUUCAAAAAGUCCAUACCAAAACCCUAGGCGGCCCCCCAAAUUCAUUUCCCUCCUUAACUCCAAAUCUCUCUUUUUCUCUCUCUAGAAAACUUCUCUCUCUCUCUCUCUGAAUUCGUUUUUCUUUUUUUCUUCCUUUUAUUUUUAUAAUUCAGCGAUUCUCCGGUGGUAUCAGGUUUGUUCGCUUUGAUUUUGUUCUCUGACUUUUGAAGUUUUUCGUAUUCAUGAAUUGAACUUUGAACUCUGAUCCUUCGUCUUCACGGUUUAGUUGUCCGUCUGUUUUUGUGCUUUUGUAUAUUAGUUAGAUGGAUUUGUUUCAUUUCAGGAUUACUGUGGUUUGAAUGAUAUCUAGGUUAUGCUGACUAAUUAGAUUUUGGGUAUAAAAUGCAGGAUUAUUGUUUUUUAGGUUUGAAAGAUUGAGGUUAGAAUGUAAUCCAGUGAGAUUAAGAAAAAUUGGAAGUAAAUAGGUCAAAAGUAUGGGGAAGGUUUCUCUAUAUGAAAGGGAAUCCCAAAAUGGAAGACAGAAAAGGCGGUUGAGAAAUGGAAACAAGAAGUAUCUGAAACCUGGUGCCCUUGGCCAACNNN
rnacentral:lncRNA from 1 species